rnacentral:lncRNA from 1 species
GUUUUAAAAAAAUACCUACCUGCAUUCCAAUCUGUUGUUACCAGCACGGGAGUCUCUCACAGUAAGGGUUUUUGCUGACUGGUGGCUGGCACAAAGGAGUGAAGAUGGGCAGGAAGGGAAGAAUGAGAGAGUCUACUGGAAGGAGGAUGCCUGCUUAGACCAUGAUCAUCCUGGCUCCUGUCCGACAAGAAGAAUAUGCUUUAAUGGAGGUCCAAGUUCAAUGCUUUCACCAAUGAACCUACGAUGUUUGGCACCCAGUAAUGCAGAUGACGCUGAUCCUACUGGAGAAACGUUUGGUCCCAUCCAGGGUAGGUGUUGGUAGAGGUGAGGAGAUCCUAGCAAAGCUUCAGGUUCUUUAUGCAAGAGAAUUCUGGGAUUUACUCCCCAACUCCAGUAUACCUGGACCUGUGAGGACAGCCUGGCACACUGCAAACUGCCUCUGGAAGGUUGGGAGGCCUUACUGGGAACUGACAAGAGGCAAGCAGCUAAGCAGCCAGGACCCAGUGACGAAGUUCUAAUGGUCCAAAAGG